CGUGUAGGCGGUUGGUUAAGUCGGGUGUGAAAGCCCGGGGCUCAGCCUCGGAAGUGCAUCCGAAACUAGCCAGCUAGAGCGCGAUAGAGGAGGGUGGAAUUCCUGGUGUAGCGGUGAAAUGCGUAGAUAUCAGGAGGAACACCGGCGGCGAAGGCGGCCCUCUGGGUCGUUGCUGACGCUGAGACGCGAAAGCGUGGGGAGCAAACAGGAUUAGAUACCCUGGUAGUCCACGCUAUAAACGAUGGGUACUAGGUGUUCGGGGUGUUGACCCCCUGAGUGCCGCAGCUAACGCAUUAAGUACCCCGCCUGGGGACUACGGCCGCAAGGUUAAA
rnacentral:rRNA from 1 species